rnacentral:rRNA from 1 species
AUACGGAGGGUCCAAGCGUUAUCCGGAAUCAUUGGGUUUAAAGGGUCCGCAGGCGGUCAAUUAAGUCAGAGGUGAAAGCCCAUCGCUCAACGAUGGAACUGCCUUUGAUACUGGUUGACUUGAGUUAUACGGAAGUAGAUAGAAUAAGUAGUGUAGCGGUGAAAUGCAUAGAUAUUACUUAGAAUACCGAUUGCGAAGGCAGUCUACUACGUAUAUACUGACGCUGAGGGACGUAAGCGUGGGGAGCGAACAGGAUUAGAAACCCCAGUAGUCC